GGGAGGUAGUGACAAUAAAUAACAAUACCGGGCUCUUUGAGUCUGGUAAUUGGAAUGAGUACAAUUUAGAUCUCUUAACGAGGAACAAUUGGAGGGCAAGUCUGGUGCCAGCAGCCGCGGUAAUUCCAGCUCCAAUAGCGUAUAUUAAAGUUGUUGCAGUUAAAAAGCUCGUAGUUGAAUUUCGGGGUUAGUAGGUUGGUCAUGCCUCUGGUAUGUACUGAUCUCACUGAUUCCUCCUUCCUGAUGAGCCGUAAUGCCAUUAAUUUGGUGUUGCGGGGAAUUUGGACCGUUACUUUGAAAAAUUAGAGUGUUUAAAGCAAGCUAACGCUUGAAUACAUUAGCAUGGAAUAAUGAAAUAGGACGUUCGAUCCUAUUUUGUUGGUUUCUAGGAUUGACGUAAUGAUUAAUAGGGAUAGUUGGG
rnacentral:rRNA from 1 species